UAUGUCACCAAAGUGGACAUGCAGGCCAACUGAGGGAUAGGACCACAGACAGCCACCCCAAAAGGUCGUUUUCUCAAAGCACUGUACCCAGGAACUGACACCUCACCUCUGGAAAGCAUGGUUCCCGCUGCUGCUGGGAAAAUGACCCCGCCUGUUAAAGAUGCAUUUGAUGGAAAAAAGAGGGAUCCACAGAUCAGCUAACAACAACCAGGAUGCGAGACAGAAACUGAUUUUCUGAGCUUCUUGGACUUCAGAGUGGCUGUCACUGAUCACACUGGGUCAUAAGGCAGCAGGAGCAUGGAGAGCCCACAGGGAUCGACCGGGCUGUCCUCUCAGCAUACACAGCUAACCGCAGAGAUGGUGGGCUGACAAAGGUAUGUCCCCCUCAGGUAUGUCUGGGUUAAGAAGGGAAGAACUAAACGCCCUCUCUGAGA